AUUGCUGUCUUUGCUAAGGGAGGCCUGCCCUGUGUGAUUUCCCUCUGCUCACUGAGUUGAAGAACACAGUUCCUGAUGAGACCAAGGUCUCUCUGCUGCUUGACUGAACUGGUUGAAAAUCACAGGCGAAGGAUUUUGCUGGAAAAGCUUGACAGCCAAGUUGGACUGAGAGUAUAAACAGAGAUACCAAAGAGCAAUCUCAUUGUGCCUUCUCCAUCAACAAAUGCCAAGCCGUGGGAUACCUUUGAAUUUGCCAGUGAUUUCUGAAAAGAAAAAAAGGAAAGGAAAUUCUUCAGCCAUAACAGGAACACUUUCAGGAAAAGAGCUGGAGAUUAUUUCACAUAUUCUGACAUAACCCAAGAAAACAACAGAUGGCAACUUCAUCCAAGUGGGUGUUAUCCACUGGGACUGCAAAACAGGAGCUUGUUUUCCAGUAACUUCCUGCCUUUCAGGUUAAAAGUUGCAGAACCUACUGCGGUGCUCUAAUGUGAGUCUCAAAUGUGGGUUAGGGUUAGAUUGUUUUAGGCAGAGUUAAGUCUGCUGUUUUCAGUAAGAUGAGAUGGAGCCCUGCCCUCAAUCAAAAUUUUGAAUCCAACUUCACUGACAAGAUUUGGGAUUUCUAAUGUGCAAUGCGUGAGUAGCAGUGAUAAUGCAGUCCAGCAGAAGAAACAGAGGUAGUAUAAAGAAAAAUAGAAUGUUGAGAAGUUGUGUGGUUAUGUGGGAAACAAAACACAGUUAGCAGAUUAAAAGGCUUGGAAGAGAAGCAGUAAGAGGACAAAGGGAAGAGAGAAGGAAUAAAGAAGGAAAGGAAGGAGGAUCAGACAGAAGAGAAAAGUGGUAGAGAGAGAAGGAAGGAAGGAGAGAAGGAUGGAUUUAAAAUACAGGAGGGCAUAUUUAGCCAUGCAGUGGUGUCACUGAACUCCUCCUGAGCAAAGUCCUUUUUCUUCAAAACUUUAGGGCCUCCAAUUGUGCAAAAAAACCCCAAUGAAAAUAAAUACUCUAAAAGUUACAAACAAUGAGACACAUUUUAAUUGGAUUUCUUUGGAUAAAAGUGGGGCAGUGUGGUAAUCACAUAUCCUUUGAAUAGAGAGAGACAUAGCUCUCCCAGGAUUUUCCUGGGAAACUCUGAGAAGCUGUGAGAAAGCUCAGUGAAAGAAUUAAAACAAUUAUUAUCUCAAUCUCUGCACCUGACAGGCAAUCUCUGUUUGUCAAAGAUGUUUACAAGAAGGAGUUGUCCCUUCUUGACCAGUAAGUGAGAGAAGAUUCCUAAAAGCCAAUCAAGUCAUUGUUUCUAUAAGAACUGUGAAUUUCUAAUAAUAAAGU